rnacentral:lncRNA from 1 species
AAUAAUAUACAAGCUUUAAAAUAAUACUUAUAAUACAUAAAAUAAUAUAUGAAAAGUAAUAAUAUAGAAAAAUAAAACAAUUUUUAUAUUUAUAAAAAGAUUUAGAAUAAAAUAAAUAAUAUAUACGAAAAAUAAUGAAUGAAACAAUAUUAUUAAAAUAAUUCAAUAUAAAAAAAGGGUUUAAGAUAAAUAUAUAUAUACAAAAUAUUGAAAUAAAUAAUAAUAAUCUAAAAAGAAAUAAAGUUAGAAUAAAAAAAUAAAAUUUAGAAAGGAUUAAAUUAGAAUAGAAAUAAAAAUACAGAUGAAAAUUUAGAAUUUAAAAAAUAAAAAAAGGGUCAAAUUAAAAUGUGCGCACAAGGAGGGGGAUUAAAACGGAAAAUAUCCCCUUUUAGAACGACAUCGUUUAUGCGCUUUCUUUUUUACAAGAGCCCAAGGACCAAAUUAAAAUAAAAACAAAAUAUUUGAGCAAAAUUAAAAGAUAAAAUAAACCUAAUUUUAAAGGAUACAAAUGCGGAAGGACCAAUUGGGAAAUUAGCCCAAUACUAGAAAACACGCGGAUCCUUUGGCCGAGUCGGGUCGACACGCGGGUCCUUUUGUUUAAAUGACGCCGUUUUAAUGCUUAUUGAAUUAAGCAAAACGGUGCCGUUUAAUAAAGCUAUAUAAGCUAAAAAAACCAAAAAUUUCAUUUCUAAAUCAUUUAAAAAAAAACAAAAGUAACGAGCCUAGAAUGCUCUCCCCCUCCUCGGCCUGAACUCCGGCGACGAUUGUCGGCCACCGCUGCACGCGCCUUACGCGCCACCGUACACGGUGGUCGGAGGUUCAAAAUUCCUCCCCUUUCCAGGAGAAUCAUAGGUAAAAUCUUUUAUUUUUAUUUUUUAAAUAUUCGCGUAUGAAAUUUUAAAAAGUGGACUACUUUUCUCUUGAUUUUCAAAUCUGUUUUUGUCUAUUAUGUUUUGCAUGUAUAAAAGAGAAGGAAAUGAAAUGAAUAAAGUUGAAGAACGUUUGAAUGACAAAAUAAAUCACCUCCGUUCUGACUUAAAAUGAUGUAUUUUAUUGUAUAAUCUUUGUGUAUAUCCCCCCCUUUACAAUGUUUUUGAUUCUUGAUUUUAUAGCCUGAAUAAAUUUAUAGAAAGUACAAUCUUUGAUUUCUUUCUUAUCCUGCCCGGUCUUUCUUUCCUUUUUUGCAGGUCUGUGGCGAGAUCUCCGGUGGAUUGGUGCGCCGAUUGCGAUAAUUGCAGCACGAUUGAAAGCCGUGCUGGGCGGGGCUCUUGUCUGCUGUUUGCGGCACUAAGGAUCGCUAGGGUUUCUGCCCUGGUGUUUCGAAUUUGAGCCUUGUUGGGUUGCUGCUUAUUGGGUUUGGGUAGGCUUAGGAUUGGGUUGGUCUAGUUAGGUAUUUUGGGUAAAGGGUUUAAUUUGGUUAAUAUUUGGGCUAUUGAAAUCGGGUUAGGGUAAUGGGUAAUUUAGAAUCUGAUACUUGGGUCAAAAGGGGUUUAGGCUAAAGGGUAUUGGGUUAGUUUAGGGUCUAUUGGGCUGGUUAUUUAUUGGGUUUGUAUUUUGGUUUGUAAAAGGACUGUAUAAAUGGACACUUUUAUUUUUUUAAAAUUUGAUUUAUUUAUUUUAAGGCCCGGGAAAAAUAUGGGUUCUACAUAUAGUGUAUAUUAUUUUUGUAUUAAUUAUUCACUAUCCAUGCUUAAAGAAUAUUGGGUUACAUCA